rnacentral:rRNA from 1 species
GAUGAGCGCUGGCGGCGUGCCUAAUACAUGCAAGUCGAGCGGUAAGGCUCCUUCGGGAGUACACGAGCGGCGGACGGCUGAGUAACACGUAGGAACGUACCCCAAAGUGAGGGAUAACUGCUCGAAAGAGUAGCUAAUACUGCAUGUGAUCCACGGAUUAAAGCUUUAUGUGCUUUGGGAACGGCCUGCGUUCGAUUAGCUUGUUGGCGGGGUAAAAGCCCACCAAGGCGACGAUCGAUAGCUGGUCUGAGAGGAUGAUCAGCCAGACUGGGACUGAGACACGGCCCAGACUCCUACGGGAGGCAGCAGUAGGGAAUCUUCCACAAUGGGCGAAAGCCUGAUGGAGCAACGCCGCGUGCAGGAUGAAGGCCUUCGGGUUGUAAACUGCUUUUAUUGGUGACGAUUAUGACGGUAACCAAUGAAUAAGGGUCCGCUAACUACGUGCCAGCCGCCGCAGUAA